CCUACGGGAGGCAGCAGUGGGGAAUAUUGCACAAUGGGGGAAACCCUGAUGCAGCGACGCCGCGUGAGCGAGGAAGUAUUUCGGUAUGUAAAGCUCUAUCAGCAGGGACGAAAAAAGACGGUACCUGACUAAGAAGCCCCGGCUAACUACGUGCCAGCAGCCGCGGUAAUACGUAGGGGGCAAGCGUUAUCCGGAUUUACUGGGUGGAAAGGGAGCGUAGACGGCAAGGAAAGCCAGAAGUGAAAGGGCAGGGCUCAACCCUGUAAAAGCUUUUGAAACUGUAGUGCUAGAGUGCAGGAGAGGUAAGUGGAAUUCCUGGUGUAGCGGUGAAAUGCGUAGAUAUUAGGAGGAACACCAGUGGCGAAGGCGGCUUACUGGACUGUAACUGACGUUGAGGCUCGAAAGCGUGGGGAGCGAACAGGAUUAGAUACCCGAGUAGUC
rnacentral:rRNA from 1 species